rfam:Oryza barthii chromosome 4, whole genome shotgun sequence.
UUUAAGUGCAACCAUAAGUUUCCGUAUCCAACUUUGACGGUCCGUCUUAUUCGAAAUUUUUUUAUAAUUAGUAUUUUUAUUGUUAUGGGAUGAUAAAACAUAAAUAGUACUUUAUACGUGACUUAUUUUUUUAUUUUUUUUCAAAUAAGACGUGCGAUCAAAGUUUAGCACGAAAAAUCAUGGUUGCACUUAAA